CCGCUUUACUGCAGCAUUAACGGUGGCGGUUGGGGAAGCGGGGGCUCGCGAAAGACGGGGCUGCGUCGGUUCGGAGAGGCACGUUGGGAUCGGUGGCGGCGGCGGACAGCUGGCGUCGCUUGGAAGGGGCUGGGAAAGGGAGGCAUGAGGGGCGGCGGGGUCGCAGCUGGGAAAUGGAGGGGUAUGGGCCGCCGGCAGCUGGCAAGAGUCGUUCGGCGGGGGCCCGAGUGAGGCUCAGUGGAAGGGCGGCGGCGGGCUUGCUCGACUUCGCCGUCGAUACCGUAGCAGCCACGACCUCCGGUGCGCCCGCCGCGUGCUCCUGUAGCUCGCCAAUCUGGCGGACCGCCACGAGCUCGACGUCGCUCUAGGGCGGUUACGGGCGCUGGCGGAGAAGGUCAGGGUGGCGCAGGCGGUGUACGAGCUGGAGCAGUAGAGGUGAAGGCUGUUCGAGCAACUUUAGAUACUUCUGUUCCUGACACGAUCCUUCCUACUCUAGAGGUGGGUAGAAUGGCGGGGCCACGUUUCGCUAUAGAAGGGGUUCAUGAUACUUUCCGAGUUUCUCUAGGCACUAAUAGUAUCCGCCUUAGUGAGACGGGCAAAGUAGUCACUUUGACUGCUAAUACUCCUCGAUGAUUUCCUCCUUGGCCGAUAACUUAAGUGACCGCUCCCAACAAACUAAGGAGAACAUCCUAGUGCCACGAUACGUACCUCCGUAAACCGGCCAUGAACCUGAAUGUACUCGAGAUGUUACUCAAGUAUUUAAGGUUCAAAUCUAGCGAUUACCUUAUGAGUCGUAUGCAACCGUGAAAACGAGUCUGACUUUUUUAGAGCGUAUCAGAUUUUCGAUGGUCCGUUAUGUUUCUUAUAAACCUCGUAUAAAACCUUAUGGACUGCAGUAAAUACAUAGCAUGUCUCGGUAACGUUCUAUAACUCUUCUAAAAAUGUUUCAACGUUUCACUCAAGCUUCUUGUCACCCGGUUACCGCUUCAUGGACCUACCCUCUUAUUCCCGUGUAUCUUUCUUAGACUUAGCGUUCUCAGACGUCAUCUGGAGCUAAUGAUGUUAUGACAACUUCUCUAACAUCUCGAACCAGGCCUUUUCAACUUUCUCCGAAAUUGACGAGCACCUAACUUCCCACCGCCGUGACAAGUUGUCGCGCGACUCGCGGAAAAGAACGACUUGUAUCUGGGAACCUUGUUAACCUAGCAUUCGUAAAACGGUUUCCACUACUAAACUUCUUCCUUUAACGAGACCAACUUCGCUUCUACUUCGCGAAUACACUCUAAGAGCUACUCCAGUAACAUUCUUGUUUCCUUUUGCGUCUCUUCUUCGACUGAAACUGGAUACUUCUUUACCUUCGUCUUGCCCUUCUUCUUCUUCAUGUUCGACUAUCACUUUCACUACUGCUUCUGGUUGUUUAGAUGUUGGGAGAGUUCAAUGGUUACCCAACCCUGCCCUUUGGAUAGGGGAUAACCGAGAUAUUCGAAGUGCCAGAACCAGUCCUUAAGUUCACGCUCUAUACACCAUUGGUGUCAAUGACCCCCGCUUCCCUAAUACUCGCGGUAAAGUUCCUCACCGCGGUAGUCGUACCCUACGCUACGGAACCAUAAGGAUUAUGGUUCUUGAAGUUGCUUUAAUGUAGGUAACUCCUCCGCUUUCGUGACACCCUCUCCUAUGUUCGUUUCGUUCCCGACUUGUUCACCGCCGGUCUGAACCUUCUCCUCAUGCUUCUGUUCCUACCGUUGUAGAUGUUGUUUUUCUGCAUGUGACUGGACGUCGCGGUUCCGGACUAUAUCUAUACGCUAAGACCACGAAACCCCAAACCUUGCGCCGCGAUUCCCACACAAAACAAACUCGGGGUUGAUCGAGGUGGUUUUAAAACCGUACUGGUUACGUUCCCGUACUGGUUUUAAAACCGAUCAACAAAGACAAACCAAACUUCGGUAGCAUACAGGUUUUUCGACCGUCUUAUCUAGUUGUUAACCAAACGUUGUAUGACUAAACUACUUUCGGACAAGACGUCAGUUUGAUUUUUUUAUUUUUUUUUUUGACUGUGCG
rnacentral:rRNA from 1 species